rnacentral:rRNA from 1 species
AACGCGAAGAACCUUACCUGGAUUUGACAUCUCCGGACAAUCAUAGAGAUAUGACUUUCGUAGCAAUACGACCGGAAGACAGGUGCUGCAUGGCUGUCGUCAGCUCGUGUGGUGACAUGUUGGGUUAAGUCCCGCAACGAGCGCAACCCUUGUCUUUAGUUGCCAGCAUUCAGUUGGGCACUCUAGAGAGACUGCCGUGGUGAACACGGAGGAAGGUGGGGAUGACGUCAAGUCCUCAUGGCCUUUAUAUCCAGGGCGACACACGUGAUACAAUGGACGGUACAGAGGGAAGCCAAACCGCGAGGUGGAGCCAAUCUCAAAAAGCCGUUCUCAGUUCGGAUUGGAGUCUGCAAUUCGACUCCAUGAAGUUGGAAUCGCUAGUAAUCGCGGAUCAGCACGCCGCGGUGAAUACGUCCCGGGCCUUGUACACACCGAGACGUA